GCCUCUCCCCGCCAACCCUGCCCGGAGCGCCAGCGAUGCCCUCUGCCCGCGGGGACCCGAGCCUCGCGCGCCCUCCGCCCUCCCUACCCUGGCCCCUGUACCCAUCACACCUGGGGCACUGCCGUCCGCCGAGCUUGGGCGCGCGGCGGCGAGAAGGCACUGGAGGAGGAGAAGCAGCCGGGGCGUAGGCGCCCUCGCCCCCAGCAGGCCGGGGAGGGCGCGCAUGGCGCCAGAGGGUCCGCCUCAGUUCUCGUGGAGACUGCUCCCUCAGCUCGCCGCCGCGGGUGUCCGGAAUCCCUCCGCACACUCGCAGGUGGCCCGGCACCCGCAGCCAGUGCCGCGGGCAGGACGCUGAAGAAAAGGCGGAAUGGGAGGGGCCCGGCCGCCUUGCCCUACUCCCCGAGACGCUCUUACCGCGCCCGGCCUUCCAUCAGUUAUGCAGCCCUCAGCCCGCUGCUGGCGUUCCCGGAUGUGCGGUGCUACUCCCGGCUGCAGCCUCUCCGGCCUCCGCCCUCUAGGCUCUAGCAGGUCGGGAGAGAGCUUGGGCAGGUGAUGUGUAGCCCAUCGCGUGGGGAGAGGUUGAAACUAUCCCUGCAGACUGGCCUUUGCACUUCAUCUGAGGCAGAUUUCACUAAUUUUCGUUGAUGGGACAGAUGAGAGACACUUUCCUCCUCCCCGACCCCGGACAUCUUUGGGCUUUCUUAUGAGGGAGGCUUAUUUUUGCGCAGGUGUAAGGUUUUAUCCAGCUGCCAGACAACUUGUACUGAUCUUUCUUUGCUUUGCCUACUAAUCACACACACCCUCUCUUCUAGCCUGUGAAGACUUAACUGAUUUUCUACGGAUGAAGGUUUCAGUGUCCCAAGGCCCCAUACCGUAUCUGAUUUUACUUUAUUUUUGUUUGUUAAGCCUAACAGCUUCUGAGGAGCCACGUAGAGCUCAAGAAGCAAAAGCUACUGAGAGUAGAUGCUAUGUAAACUGCACAAGACGUUGACCUUUGUUAAAUCCGAACACUGUUUAAGAUAAUGCUAUCUCUUACCCACGAGGCUGUAGCUUGGAAUAUUCAGUGCUCUGAACCAAAUUAAAUAAAUUAGUGCUUUAUCCGGGAGGGGAGGAGAAAUCUAUGUUGUAACAUUGAAACACAUUGAUUUGAUUUCUCUCCAGGAUGUUAUAACGCAUUAAAAGAUAUUUUAAAUAUUUUUCACGA
rnacentral:lncRNA from 1 species